ensembl:snRNA U6 U6 spliceosomal RNA
GUGCUCGCUUCAGCAGCACAUAUACUAAAGUUGGAAUGAUACAGAGAAGAUUAGCAUGGCUCCUGUGCAAGGAUGACACCAAAUUUAUGAAGCAUUCCAUAUUUUU